rnacentral:tRNA from 1 species
GGCUCGUUCGUCUAGUGGUUAGGACACUAGGUUUUCAUCCUGGGAACAGGGGUUCGAUUCCCCUACGAGCUACGA